rnacentral:rRNA from 1 species
AUUGAACGCUGGCGGCAGGCCUAACACAUGCAAGUCGAGCGAGCGGCGGACGGGUGAGUAAUGUCUGGGCCACUGCCUGAUUGAGGGGGAUAACUCCUGGAAACGGUAGCUAAUACCUCAUACCAUCAGUUGUGCCCAGAUGGGAUUAGCUUGUAGGUGGGGUAACGCCUCACCUAGGCGACCAUCCCUAACUGCUCUGAGAGGAUGACCAGCCACACUGGAACGUGUACCAGGACCAGACUCCUACGGCAGCCAGCAGUGGCGAAUGUGGCAAAAUGGGAGCAAGCCUGAGGAGGCAUUGCCACUUAUGUGAAGAGAGCCUUAGGGUGGUAAAGCACUUGCAGCGGGGAGGCGUUACCCGCAGCGGAAGCACCGGCUGAAUCCGUGCCAGCGGCCGCGGUAAUAC